rnacentral:rRNA from 1 species
CCUACGGGAGGCGGCAGUGGGGAAUAUUGGGCAAUGGAGGAAACUCUGACCCAGCGACGCCGCGUGCGGGAUGAAGGCCUUCGGGUUGUAAACCGCUUUCAGCAGGGAAGAAGCGAAAGUGACGGUACCUGCAGAAGAAGCACCGGCUAACUAUGUGCCAGCAGCCGCGGUAAUACAUAGGGUGCAAGCGUUGUCCGGAAUUAUUGGGCGUAAAGAGCUCGUAGGUGGUUCGUCACGUCGGAUGUGAAAAUCUGGGGCUUAACCCCAGACCUGCAUUCGAUACGGGCGAGCUUGAGUAUGGUAGGGGAGUCUGGAAUUCCUGGUGUAGCGGUGGAAUGCGCAGAUAUCAGGAGGAACACCAAUGGCGAAGGCAGGACUCUGGGCCAUUACUGACACUGAGGAGCGAAAGCGUGGGGAGCGAACAGGAUUAGAUACCCUGGUAGUCCACGCCGUAAACGGUGGGCACUAGUUGUGGGGACCUUCCACGGUCUCUGCGACGCNGCUACGCAUAGUGCCCGCCGUCGGGAGGUACGAGUCGCGAGAAGUUAAACGUUAACGUAAAGUUAAAGUUAGUACGGUUCGUUGAGACGUUGCCGACGGACGACGACGAGGGAGGAGG